GGCUCGUUGGUCUAGGGGUAUGAUUCUCGCUUUGGGUGUGAGCGGUCCUGGGUUUGACUUCCAGGCGAGCCC
rnacentral:tRNA from 1 species